GCGGGUGUAACUCAGUGGCUAGAGUGCAACCUUGCCAAGGUUGAAGUCGUGGGUUCAAAUCCCAUCACCCGCUCCA
rnacentral:tRNA from 1 species